GAUUAUGGCUCAGAACGAACGCUGGCGGCGCGUCUUAAGCAUGCAAGUCGGACGGCAAGAGGUAGCAAUACCUCCUAGAGUGGCGGACUGGUGAGUAACACGUGGGUGACAUACCCUUCAGAUGGGGAUAGCUAUUAGAAAUAGUAGAUAAUACCGAAUACGAGCACAGGGGUUAGAGAUCUGUGAGGAAAGGAGCUAAGGCUCCGCUGAAGGAAUGGCCUGCGGCCCAUUAGCUAGUUGGUGAGGUAAGAGCCCACCAAGGCGAUGAUGGGUAUCCGGCCUUAGAGGGUGAACGGACACAUUGGGACUGGGAUACGGCCCAGACUCCUACGGGAGGCAGCAGCUAAGAAUAUUCCGCAAUGGACGAAAGUCUGACGGAGCGACGCCGCGUGGAUGAAGAAGGCCGGAAGGUUGUAAAAUCCUUUUGAAACUGAAGAAUAAGCGUUGUAGGGAAUGACAGCGUGGUGACAGUUAGGUUUUGAAUAAGCAACGGCUAAUUACGUGCCAGCCGCCGC
rnacentral:rRNA from 1 species